rnacentral:rRNA from 1 species
UACGUAGGCGGCAAGCGUUAUCCGGAAUUAUUGGGCGUAAAGGGAGUGUAGGUGGCUAUAUAAGUCACAUGUGAAAUACCAAGGCUUAACCUUGGAGGUGCAUGUGAUACUGUAUAGCUAGAGUGCCGGAGGGGUGAGUGGAAUUCCUAGUGUAGCGGUAGAAUGCGUAGAGAUUAGGAGGAACACCGGAGGCGAAGGCGGCUCACUGGACUGUAACUGACACUGAAACUCGAAAGCGUGGGGAGCAAACAGGAUUAGAUACCCUGGUAGUCCACGCCCUAAACGACGGAUACUAGAUGUGGGGGGAAUCAACUCCUUCCGUGUCGUAGCUAACGCGUUAAGUAUCCCGCCUGGGGAGUACGGUCGCAAGAUUAAA